rnacentral:rRNA from 2 species
AGAGUUUGAUCCUGGCUCAGGACGAACGCUGGCGGCGUGCCUAAUACAUGCAAGUCGAACGAACUCUGGUAUUGAUUGGUGCUUGCAUCAUGAUUUACAUUUGAGUGAGUGGCGAACUGGUGAGUAACACGUGGGAAACCUGCCCAGAAGCGGGGGAUAACACCUGGAAACAGAUGCUAAUACCGCAUAACAACUUGGACCGCAUGGUCCGAGUUUGAAAGAUGGCUUCGGCUAUCACUUUUGGAUGGUCCCGCGGCGUAUUAGCUAGAUGGUGGGGUAACGGCUCACCAUGGCAAUGAUACGUAGCCGACCUGAGAGGGUAAUCGGCCACAUUGGGACUGAGACACGGCCCAAACUCCUACGGGAGGCAGCAGUAGGGAAUCUUCCACAAUGGACGAAAGUCUGAUGGAGCAACGCCGCGUGAGUGAAGAAGGGUUUCGGCUCGUAAAACUCUGUUGUUAAAGAAGAACAUAUCUGAGAGUAACUGUUCAGGUAUUGACGGUAUUUAACCAGAAAGCCACGGCUAACUACGUGCCAGCAGCCGCGGUAAUACGUAGGUGGCAAGCGUUGUCCGGAUUUAUUGGGCGUAAAGCGAGCGCAGGCGGUUUUUUAAGUCUGAUGUGAAAGCCUUCGGCUCAACCGAAGAAGUGCAUCGGAAACUGGGAAACUUGAGUGCAGAAGAGGACAGUGGAACUCCAUGUGUAGCGGUGAAAUGCGUAGAUAUAUGGAAGAACACCAGUGGCGAAGGCGGCUGUCUGGUCUGUAACUGACGCUGAGGCUCGAAAGUAUGGGUAGCAAACAGGAUUAGAUACCCUGGUAGUCCAUACCGUAAACGAUGAAUGCUAAGUGUUGGAGGGUUUCCGCCCUUCAGUGCUGCAGCUAACGCAUUAAGCAUUCCGCCUGGGGAGUACGGCCGCAAGGCUGAAACUCAAAGGAAUUGACGGGGGCCCGCACAAGCGGUGGAGCAUGUGGUUUAAUUCGAAGCUACGCGAAGAACCUUACCAGGUCUUGACAUACUAUGCAAAUCUAAGAGAUUAGACGUUCCCUUCGGGGACAUGGAUACAGGUGGUGCAUGGUUGUCGUCAGCUCGUGUCGUGAGAUGUUGGGUUAAGUCCCGCAACGAGCGCAACCCUUAUUAUCAGUUGCCAGCAUUAAGUUGGGCACUCUGGUGAGACUGCCGGUGACAAACCGGAGGAAGGUGGGGAUGACGUCAAAUCAUCAUGCCCCUUAUGACCUGGGCUACACACGUGCUACAAUGGAUGGUACAACGAGUUGCGAACUCGCGAGAGUAAGCUAAUCUCUUAAAGCCAUUCUCAGUUCGGAUUGUAGGCUGCAACUCGCCUACAUGAAGUCGGAAUCGCUAGUAAUCGCGGAUCAGCAUGCCGCGGUGAAUACGUUCCCGGGCCUUGUACACACCGCCCGUCACACCAUGAGAGUUUGUAACACCCAAAGUCGGUGGGGUAACCUUUUAGGAACCAGCCGCCUAAGGUGGGACAGAUGAUUAGGGUGAAGUCGUAACAAGGGUAACC